GAAUUACAGCCAAUCCAACUGACAAAUGAAUGCGAUUGCCUUCAAAUUAUCAGUUUUUGUCUCACUUUUCAUAAGCAAGCAGUGAUCUACCUGACAGACAGAAAAUGUGCUAAAUUUGCUGACGUGUAUAUUGCAUGUUUUGACAUGAAUUUACAUCGCGCAAUGCACUUUUGUGUAACAAUGUCUUGUUUUAAAGAGGCAUUAUAACUUUGGCUCCUAUUUGGACUGUGUUGGCCUGGCUUGAUUAACAAAUAGUUAUUCUAUAUCCUUUUCCAGGAAAUGCUGGCAAAAGUGGAGAUAGGAGGAGUGCAGAAAUAUAUUAAAGUUCCACAGACUGAUGAAGUCUUUCAAUUUGAGAAGUUCCUUCAAGAAGAUCUGGAUGUUCAGCUGGUCUCAGAUCAAGCAUCCUCCUCUGUACUGACUCCAAUAUCCCCAGCUUCAUCCCAUUCAUCAGAUUCCAUAAUUGUCUUGAGUCCAGAAGAAAGAGGAGGAACCCAACAGGGUUAAUAGACCAGAAUGAAGCAAGACAGAAAGUUGAUUGUUUUCUGAGGGCCAAUCCAAAGGGUGAGGAAAUCUUCAAGGAGUAUGAAAAGACCAAAACACUAACAGAUGCCACACAUAAACAGAUGGUGACCGUCCUGGUUGCAGACAUGUUAGAGCUACAUGGGUAAGAAUUGGAGGUCACUUCCCUCCCUUUGUCAUCAGAACAGAUUCAUGUGGUGCAGCUAAAGAAUGCUAUUCUGUUUUGGUGGAAAAGGGGCAUUUAGUCUUUAACUUCUUGCAAAACAUACACACU